AGUGUUUGGAAUAUUUUUAGAAGGAAUGGUACCAGCUCUUCUUUGUACCUCUGGUAGAAUUCAGCUCUGAAUUUGGUUCCACUCUCCCCAUCACUUUCAGGUACACCAACCAAAGACAUUGUUGUCUUUGGGACCAAUACAUUUCUUCUAUCUGCAUAUCUGGGUAGAAGCUCUCAUGGAAGAAAAAAGAAAAGCCCCAUAGGUGAAGGGGAGUGUGCCUGCCAAGUUCCUUGUAAUAACUUCACACACAGAGUAUUUUCUGAAAUGGAUCUGCUGGAGUCAUCUCAUGGAAUCUUCUCAUUCUUCUGGAGUCUCCUCAUUUUACAGACGCUGAAGGAAAAACACCAGCUGAGGAAGAAUGAAGAACUGCCUGUUCUAAGUUAUUCUCCUUCUGUGGUCAUUCGAGCACCAGGAAGACCAGGUUUGCCCCAUCAAGUACCUCAAGAAAGAAGUCAAUUACCUAAAGAAGUCAAGCAAAGAGGAAAGGACAAAAUGAAAAUCAAGUACCAGGGUACACGUCGAGGCUCCAAGCUGGAAUGAAUAUGGCCUUCAACAUACUCUUUAUCAUACAGAAGCUUGUGUUCAGGGCUUGGAUUUUGAAGUCAGACAGACCUGGAUUAAAAACCAAUUCAACUACCUAUUGCAUAUGUGACCUAGGUAAGAUCUAACCUCUCUGUGCCUCAGUCUACUCCUUUGCCAAAUGGGCAUUAGGAGCACAGAUUUUGAGGCAGUCAGUGUUGGAUUUCAACCUCAGCUCCACUACUGACUGUGUCAAAAGGGCAAGUUAAUGAACCUCCAAUGUUAAUUUCUUCUUCUCUAAAGAGGAAGUGAUUACACAGGUCCAUUGAAGGACUGUUUGGGGGACUGGUUGAGAUAAGAUAUAAAAUGCACAUGCACAGUGCUCAGGAAAAUUUUUGUGAACUUCUUACAUAUCUCCUCUUAAGCUCCAGGACAGUGGCUGUCAAAGCGUGGUCCCUGGACCAGCAGCAUCAGCUUUAUCUGGGGAACUGUGAGAAAUGCAGAUUCUCAGGUCCCGCUCCAGACUCACUGAAUCAGAAACUCUGAGGGUGGUCCCAGCACUCUGUUUUAACAAGCCCUCCAAGAGAUUAUGGUGGAUGCUAAAAUUUGAGAAUCUCUGCUCUUGGGGCUAGUUCAGAAUGCACCUGAGACUUGGCCGGGCGCGGUGGCUCAUGCCUGUAAUCCCAGCACUUUGGGAGGCCGAGGCGGGCAGAUCACGAGGUCAGGAGUUCGAGACCAGCCUGGCCAACAUGAUGAAACCCCGUCUCUACUAAAAAUACAAAAAUUAGCUGGGUGUGGCGGAGGGUGCCUGUAGUCCCAGCUACUUGGGAGGCUGAGGCAGGAGAAUCGCUUGAACCCAGGAGGUGGAGGUUGCAGUGAGCCGAGAUCGCGCCAUUGCACUCCAGCCUGGGGGACAAGAGCCAGACUCCGUCUCAAAAAAUAAAAAAAAAGCAAAGAAUGCACCUGAGACUUUCAGUCCACACACAACUGCUGUGGGUUCCCAAGAACCUGUUCAGUGCCAUGAUUCUUUAAAGUGAGUUCUCCGCUCAUUGUUUUCUGCACCCAAACGGAAGAAAUACUUCAAUUCUCAGGAUUUCCCUCUGACACUAGGUAACAUCUUCUAUAUGCUUCCUUUACUCCAGGCAUUCUGAUAAUAGUUUCACAUAGAUUAUUUCAAUUUAUCUCUGCA